rnacentral:rRNA from 1 species
UACGUAGGGGGCAAGCGUUGUCCGGAUUUAUUGGGCGUAAAGCGCUCGCAGGUGGUCCGUCGCGUCGUGCGUGAAAGACCCCGGCUCAACUGGGGAGGGUCGUGCGAUACGGGCGGACUGGAGGCCAGUAGGGGGAUGCGGAAUUCCGGGUGUAGUGGUGGAAUGCGUAGAGAUCCGGAGGAACACCAGCGGCGAAGGCGGCAUCCUGGACACAUACUGACGCUGAGGUGCGAAAGCGUGGGGAGCAAACAG